rnacentral:rRNA from 1 species
GACGAACGCUGGCGGCGUGCCUAAUACAUGCCAGUUGAGCGCUGAAGGUUGGUACUUGUACCAACUGGAUGAGCAGCGAACGGGUGAGUAACGCGUGGGGAAUCUGCCUUUGAGCGGGGGACAACAUUUGGAAACGAAUGCUAAUACCGCAUAAAAACUUUAAACACAAGUUUUAAGUUUGAAAGAUGCAAUUGCAUCACUCAAAGAUGAUCCCGCGUUGUAUUAGCUAGUUGGUGAGGUAAAGGCUCACCAAGGCGAUGAUACAUAGCCGACCUGAGAGGGUGAUCGGCCACAUUGGGACUGAGACACGGCCCAAACUCCUACGGGAGGCAGCAGUAGGGAAUCUUCGGCAAUGGACGAAAGUCUGACCGAGCAACGCCGCGUGAGUGAAGAAGGUUUUCGGAUCGUAAAACUCUGUUGGUAGAGAAGAACGUUGGUGAGAGUGGAAAGCUCAUCAAGUGACGGUGACUACCCAGAAAGGGACGGCUAACUACGUG